rnacentral:rRNA from 1 species
UACGUAGGGUGCAAGCGUUGUCCGGAAUCAUUGGGCGUAAAGAGCGUGUAGGCGGCCAGAAAAGUCCGCUGUGAAAACUCGAGGCUCAACUUCGAGCUGUCGGUGGAAACUUUCUGGCUAGAGUCCGGAAGAGGAGAAUGGAAUUCCUGGUGUAGCGGUGAAAUGCGCAGAUAUCAGGAAGAACACCCGUGGCGAAGGCGGCACUCUGGGACGGUACUGACGCUGAGACGCGAAAGCGUGGGGAGCAAACAGG